rnacentral:lncRNA from 1 species
UUAAUUUCAAAUUUUAAAAUUUAAAAGUUAAUAUUUUCAAUUUUCAAUUUAAAAUUAUAAUUUUAAAAUUUAAAAAAUUUAAAUUCAAUUAUAGCGAUAAUAUCAUUAUUUUCUAUUUAUAGCUAACAACUAUUCCUCUUAUUCCUAAUAACCAUCCAAACAUAAUUUUUCUAGUUCCAGCUUAUGCUCGCAUUUUCAUCUAAACAAAAAAAUAUCAUUAUUCUUACAAAAAUCCAUACUUGUACCUAUCCCCAGUAUUACUAGUUCCUAAUAAUUCCCGAACCAAAUGGAGCCUAAGACAUAAGAUAGAUAU